rnacentral:tRNA from 1 species
GGUUGUGGCUCAGAGGUAGAGCACUUGCUUCGCAAGCAUGAGGCCCUGGGUUCAAUCCUCAGCACCA